rnacentral:rRNA from 1 species
GAUGAACGCUGGCUACAGGCUUAACACAUGCAAGUCGAGGGGAAACGACGGGGAAGCUUGCUUCCCCGGGCGUCGACCGGCGCACGGGUGAGUAACGCGUAUCCAACCUGCCUCUGACUGAGGGAUAACCCGUCGAAAGUCGGCCUAAUACCUCAUGGCAUCGUCUGCGGGCAUCCAACGACGAUUAAAGAUUUCAUCGGUCAGAGAUGGGGAUGCGUCUGAUUAGCUUGUUGGCGGGGUAACGGCCCACCAAGGCGACGAUCAGUAGGGGUUCUGAGAGGAAGGUCCCCCACAUUGGAACUGAGACACGGUCCAAACUCCUACGGGAGGCAGCAGUGAGGAAUAUUGGUCAAUGGGCGAGAGCCUGAACCAGCCAAGUAGCGUGCAGGAUGACGACCCUAUGGGUUGUAAACUGCUUUUAUGCGGGGAUAAAGUGAGGGACGUGUCCUUCAUUGCAGGGACCGCAUGAAUAAGGACCGGCUAAUUCCGU